rnacentral:rRNA from 1 species
UACGGGAGGCAGCAGUGGGGAAUAUUGGACAAUGGGCGCAAGCCUGAUCCAGCAAUGCCGCGUGAGUGAAGAAGGCCUUAGGGUUGUAAAGCUCUUUCGGCGGGGACGAAAAGGUGCGUGCUAACACCAUGCAUCCAUGACGGUACCCGUAGAAGAAGCACCGGCUAACUACGUGCCAGCAGCCGCGGUAAUACGUAGGGUGCAGGCGUUAAUCGGAAUUACUGGGCGUAAAGCGUGCGCAGGCGGUUUGCUAAGACAGGUGUGAAAUCCCCGGGCUUAACCUGGGAACUGCGCUUGUUACUGGCAGGCUUGAGUGUGGCAGAGGGGGGUGGAAUUCCACGUGUAGCAGUGAAAUGCGUAGAGAUGUGGAGGAACACCGAUGGCGAAGGCAGCCCCCUGGGCUAACACUGACGCUCAUGCACGAAAGCGUGGGGAGCAAACAGGAUUAGAUACCCUGGUAG